GAUGAACGCUGGCGGCGUGCCUAAUACAUGCAGGUCGAGCGAACGGACGAGAAGCUUGCUUCUCUGAUGUUAGCGGCGGACGGGUGAGUAACACGUGGAUAACCUACCUAUAAGACUGGGAUAACUUCGGGAAACCGGAGCUAAUACCGGAUAAUAUUUUGAACCGCAUGGGUCAAAAGUGAAAGACGGUCGUGCUGUCAGGUAUAGAUGGAUCUGCGCUGCAUUAGCUGGUUGGUAAGGUAACGGCUUACCAAGGGAACGAGGCAUUGCCGACCUGAGGGGCUGAUCGGCCACCCUGGAACGGAGACACGGUCCAGACUCCUACGGGAGGCAGCAGUAGGGAAUCUUCCGCAGAGGGCGAAAGCCUGACGGAGCAACGCCGCGUGAGUGAUGAAGGUCUUCGGAUCGUAAAACUCUGUUAUUAGGGAAGAACAUAUGUGUAAGUAACUGUGCACAUCUUGACGGUACCUAAUCAGAAAGCCACGGCUAACUACGUG
rnacentral:rRNA from 1 species